rnacentral:rRNA from 1 species
UACGUAGGGUGCGAGCGUUAAUCGGAAUUACUGGGCGUAAAGCGUGCGCAGGCGGUUCUGAAAGUCAGCUGUGAAAGCCCCGGGCUUAACCUGGGAACUGCGGUUGAAACUACAGGACUAGAAUCUGGCAGAGGGGGGUGGAAUUCCACGUGUAGCAGUGAAAUGCGCAGAUAUCGGGAAGAACACCUAUGGCGAAGGCAGCUCUCUGGGACGGUACUGACGCUGAGACGCGAAAGCGUGGGGAGCGAACAGG